AGUCUGUUACAGUGUUAUGUUAAUAGACAUUAACAUUGCAUUAAUAUCACAUUCUCUUGUGAUUUGCUUUUUCAUCCAACACUGCCUUCAAGAUCGUCCAUUCACUCUUAAUUGCUGCCCUGUUUCACUAUAGGAAUGUACCAACUCGCCGCCGGUUCACUGCAGUCUAAGAGCUCUCUGAACUGUUUCCUGUUGGGCUGGGAAGCACCACCUACAUAUUUCCCUCCAGCUAGAGCAGGAGCAGCUCAAGGGCAGAAACCGUUCUGAGCUGCUUGCUGUUUCUUUUCCUAAUUUCCGUGGCACCUGGGAACUGCCAGCCACGUGAAGCGCUUUGCCUGGAAGAUAUUGCUCUGUUCUCGGCACACAAAACGCCCUCGAUUCAAAAAAAAAAAAAAAAAAAAAAGUGUUCGGUAAAUAAUCUUAGCAAAGUGCGUGUUUAAAUUUGCUAAGCCCUCACUUGUCCACCGAGUAAGAUUUAAGGGGAACCUGCUGCAAUUUCCUCUAGAAAGUCCUGAAGGUAUUUCAGGGCAGAAGUAGAUCUAUAAAACAAGGUCACGCCACAGUUCCGGUUCCUCCUAAGAGGAUCUCCAAGCACUCUAAAAGCGCGGUUUUCGCGACGGUAUUUUCCCCAACUUUUAAAGGAAUCCAGGUCCCAGGUCAUGUUUCCGUACCUACCAUUUAACUUCCCACCUCAAGCAGGUCCAGCGCCACUGGUCGUACUGCUAGCCGCACUUCCCAACCUUCCUGCUCCUAAGAAGAUAUAACACCCUUUGAUCUCCUCUCCAGUGCUUUGUGGCUUAAGGAACCUUGAUGUGCAAGACAAAUAUGCUCUGUAACUGUGCGCACGCGGAACCAUCUAUCAUCACCCUGCCUUUAAACAUGACCGGUACUUUGUGUGUUUCAGAGAAAUUAAUCUGCUGUUUAGUGGAAGAAAACCAAGGCAAAACCAUCUUCCUGCAUGCACCGUCUUCUUGCAGACUCAACAGCAUUUUCAGUGUCUCGGGCUCCCGCUCCGUAAACCACAAACUUGACCUUCGAGCGGAUUUCAAAAGCAGAGGUUUCCUCCCUCUCCCUCUCUGGCUCCUAUGGAGCGCCUGGGCAUACUUGUGGGUAGCAGCUGCAUGUACCAGAGCUGGGAACUAUACGUCGAGGAGACUUGGAGAUACUAGUGGGCGGCAGGGUGGGGGCUGGGGAGCGAGGCAAAGAUGGGCGGGAGGAGAGGGAGAGAGGAUGGGGUGGAGGGGGAGGAUAGAUCUGUCUGCAUAUGCAUGAAGCACCCAGCACUGCCCUCUUCCCAAGCAGCUGCUGUGUGGGAGGCGGAGGAGGAAGGGGGAAGGGAAGGACUAAGAUGGGCGGGGCGGCAGAAACUGCCUUUAAACUGGACCUCGGUUUGGAGGGCGAAAGAGGUGAUUUGCAUGGCGUCCGGUGAUUGGCUGAGGUCCGAGGGCUGGGUCUGAGAGGCGGCCUCUGAAUGGUUUAAGGAGAAAAUCUCUGAAUUCUGAUUUCUAAAGUCGGGACCGCCGGGUAGAUGCAGUAUGCAAUCAGGACGCAAGGAGGCGCGAUGUCCUAUCUUUGUUCUGCUUAAAAGGUCUUUUUCCGUCCUCCUUCAGCCGUCCCCGCCCCCACCCCCACGCGCAGACUCACGCAGAAAGUGCAGAGAAACCCUGUGAUCCAGUCAACUGGCACUGCCCCGUCUAUUAAGAAAGAUGAACGCUCCUUUCUCUUCCAUCUCCUUCAUGGGAGACCACUUUUCAUUUCAGAUUAUCACAUCAAUAAAUAUUCUUCGAGGAACAAAAAAGGCACUUUGCCAAAAGAUAAAAGAAUAUAUGUGAAAUGUGUGGACUGUAGAGAAAGGCACUACACGAAGGCAAAAGAAUAGAAGCACAUAUGUAAAUAACGCACAUAAUCACAUCAAGAACACAAAACACAAGGGCAGAUACAGACAGGGCACCCGGAGAGAACGUGGGCUGCUCCCAAGGUCCUCAGAGUCUGCAUGCUUCCCACACGCAGAGGCACACACCCGCUGAUGAGCCAAUGAUCUUCCCCAACACACAAGCACACACACAUAACACACACCUCAGAAAAGGCAUUCACGCGAAUUCACACGCAGUGAAAAUUUUGCAGAGGAAAUACUAGAGCAGAAUUAAAUGGUUUAUCCCCUCCCCCUCCAAAAUAUACUCAAGCAAAAUGAUUCUACUUGCAUAUUACUAAUACACGCAGGGCACUGAAAGGAGGAAAAUGGCUCCAGUUGGGGCACACAGUGGAGAAUACGUGUGUACAAUGCAUACACAGACACACGCGCGCGCGAGCAUCUGUGGGCGGGACACACCCACAGCCUGUGUCCUCUGCCCAUGGGCACAGGCAGAGGACAGAUUCCAUCAGCAGCGCUCAGUACAAUUGUCGGAAGAAGAAACCCACCCUAUUCGGCAACUAUGAAACAUGUCAGAGUGCCAAGGGUUUCUAAGACCCAGAUCAAUACAUUCUUGUUACAAAAGUGGUCAAAAAAAUAAUUGAUGCAUCUUAGAUAAUUGAGUGCUGUAGCAUAUUCGCUCAAACAAUACUUCGAAAUGACUUCAGCCUGAAGAUAGCUUUCUAAACUGAAAAAAAAAAAAAAAUCCCUAAGAAAUUAGAUGUUCAUUUGCUUUCUCUUGUUUUUUUAUUAUUAUUAUUUUUAAAUAAUAGUAUGAAUGCUAGUAGAGACAGCAUUUUUCUCUUCCUCCAAAAGAGGGGAACUGAUUUUGUUUUGUGAACCCAGGAGCUUUCCAGUUGGUUUCCCAGUGAAAAAGGUGGCAGGAGGGUCCUCUGCUUACCCUCCCAGCCAGACAGCACCACAAAAGGCAUUAUUACACAUCCCAAAUUGCAAGGGCUGUCUAUAUAUUUACGAAUCUGUUCAAAUAUUUAACCUCUUAACUUGCUAAAUACCCCCUCUUCUUCCUUUCUCCUCUGCGCUCUCCCUCUCCCCCCUGUCUGUCUUCUCUCCAGUCCUUUCUUUUUUCUCUUUCUCUUUCUAAAAAGGAAAGGCAUAGAAAGCCCCUUUCUGGAGUUCUUGGAGUGACUGUCACAGUCUCCACCUGACACUGUUUUACUAACGAUUUCCUGUCCUAACAACUGUGGGAGCCUUUUUGUUUGUUUGUUUUUUGCAGUCCCAAAGACCGAGUUUGAACCCUCAGUUACAUUUCUUAAGUAGAAGCGUUGAGGUUGUCCGCACCCCGCCCCCUCAGCGCAGCUUUUUAACAACUCCUAGGGAAAGCUUUGCCUACAUCCGAGGGAGCUUACUGACACUCUACAAAUCUCCUGAUUCCCGACCCUCUCGAUCCCCACACUCUUCAUUCGGGAUAAACGCUUCUUUGGGCCACCUCUUUCCUGUCAAGGGACGAGUAGAGGGACGAGUGCACAGGAAGAGAUCUUCCAAAGACAGCCUGAAAUUUUCGUUAGUGUGGGGUGAACAGGAGCGAGGCGCACGUCUGAUGCUGGGACCGUCUGGGACCACCACCACAGAGAAUCUCAGCCUAAAUCUUCUUUUACGGGUCAAAUAACGCAUUCUAAGGGGCAGAGCAAACUGCGAAGGUAUCUGGUGGUGGGCCUUUAUGCAGGAACAUAAGCUUUCGCAAACAUCGAGGUUUCCUUAUGUUGAUGGGUACAGUGUGGGUACAGCGUGGGUAGAGCGUGCGCACAACAGACUGUGGAACUGACCCCUCACCUCCCAGGCCGCUGCCCAGCCCAGCUCCGCAGGCGGCAGCCCAGGAGAGGGUUCCCAUCGAUGGAUCAAUCCACAGAUCCAUUCCCCCAAAGUGCUCUUGCCUCACCUAGGACUUUCUCCCGUGACACCAUUUAAAGUAGCCUGAAAGUGCUUCUCCAUGCCUUUGAGGGAGAGGGAGUCUCAAAGAAUGUCGGGAAAAGUAAAAUAAAAUAACAGUGCCGAAAGGAGAUUGACUCUCAGCGAAUUUCCUCUGGCCUAAAAAAAAAAAAAAGAGAGAAAAGAAAAAGAAAAAAGAAAAGAAAAAGAAUAACUUUAUUUAUAAUCCGCUGCCAGCCUUAUUUCAGAGAAGAUGAAACAAUGAAGGUGCAGUUUGGCCAGACAGUAAGAUGAGUUUUCAUUUGCCCUUUGUUCAAUGGUAGGUACAUACCAGUUUCAAAGAACUUCGGGGAUCCCUCAGCCUGCAAGGUAAUCCAGCUCCUAGCCCGCAUAAGCAUCUUACAGACAAACAGCCCUCAGCCCUGACACUUGCCCUCAGCCAAACUCAAGUUAGGAUCACACCUGUCAGUGGUCCAAGAAACUCUCGCCCCCAGAACACCCCAGCAGCUGGACUAACUUAGUGAAAAGCUAAGCUCCCCUCAGUAUGGCAAUGAACUUUGCUCGCUGCUGUCGGGAGCUAGCACGCCCGCAUCAACAGCUCUCAGGGCCCCGCCAAAGCCUUGAGCAAAAGGAUAACAUACAUAUUUUUAAGUGGCUUACAAAUAAAAAGAAACUAAAAAGAAAAAAAAAACCCAACAACAAAAAUAAAAACAUUUAUGCUUGCUGAAGAGGAUGAAAAGCUGUUUGAAAACCAACCAGAACACAAGUAUGUUCCCUUUGUGUGCUACAUUAGAGGUGGAAGCACACUAGUACUGCAUACCGUAGGCACACCCUCUAAAAUGUGUGGGUUCGCAGGACUGUAUGAUUGUCCACCUACUGCUCAAGCCCAGAAGAAAACUGCUACGGUUACUGUUGUUCUAGUUUCUUAUCAGAAAAGAUAUUCAUUUGAACACAUUAUCUAAAUCUGCGUAAGAAUGAAGGCUGCUUGUCAUGCGUCCUUCGUUUUCAGUAAUGUGUGCCACCCAAUUAGAAGCAAUUUAGGCAAUCAAGACCGUAGGAGAGAAGAAGGUGUUAAAAAUAGGUUUUCUAAAGCCUCAGAACUC
rnacentral:lncRNA from 1 species